GACGAACGCUGGCGGCGUGCUUAACACAUGCAAGUCGAACGGAAAGGCCCUGCUUUUGUGGGGUGCUCGAGUGGCGAACGGGUGAGUAACACGUGAGUAACCUGCCCUUGACUUUGGGAUAACUUCAGGAAACUGGAGCUAAUACCGGAUAGGAGCUCCUGCUGCAUGGUGGGGGUUGGAAAGUUUCGGCGGUUGGGGAUGGACUCGCGGCUUAUCAGCUUGUUGGUGGGGUAGUGGCUUACCAAGGCUUUGACGGGUAGCCGGCCUGAGAGGGUGACCGGCCACAUUGGGACUGAGAUACGGCCCAGACUCCUACGGGAGGCAGCAGUGGGGAAUAUUGCACAAUGGGCGGAAGCCUAAUGCAGCAACGCCGCGUGCGGGAUGACGGCCUUCGGGUUGUAAACCGCUUUCGCCUGUGACGAAGCGUGAGUGACGGUAAUGGGUAAAGAAGCACCGGCUAACUACGUG
rnacentral:rRNA from 1 species